rnacentral:lncRNA from 1 species
CCAUUGGCCUGCUGGGGAAACUGAGGCUGUGCUGGUCUGGCACUGCCUGCACCUUGUGAAUGGCUGAAGUUUGGGCUGAGGUCUCCGCGACCACAGAGCUGUUGGACCAAUCUGUUCCUAUGGAGGGGACAUGGAGACCAGGCCACCUGCCAGAGGCGGUGGGGACUCGGCCCUCUGUGAGCCCGGAAGUGCCUGGUGGAGAAGUCUGUGGUUCAAGUGCUUGGACAAGGGCCUGAACACCCAUCCCCGGGCCCCCCGCCCUCAUGGGGGUGAGGGGCUGACCUUUCUCGUCCAGGCUCCCCUCACGCAGGAGUGAGGCGACAGCUGGGUCCCAUGUCUGGGCGAUGGGCAGAUCAGCCGGUGGAGGGGUCAACGCCCGUGUGGCCACACCAACCAGCCCACGCCUAUUGUCCUGGCUGCUGGUCCCCAGGUGGGGCUCUGAGGUGGCAGAGGGGCUCCCCAGGUGAUGACCCAGCCUCCAGCACACCGGACACCAUUGAAAGCACAAACAGGGUCUGAGGCAGAGAGGAGCUGUGGACUCAUGCAUCAGGCCCCUGGGGUGCACACCAGCCCAGCCGUAUCUCCUGGGGUCACAGCUCUGUGGACAUGACUCCUGAUGCCCGCUGUCCAGCUCCCGUGUGUGACUGCACCCUGACUUUGAUGCCCUCUGACCAGCUCGAGUCUGUGACUGCACCGUGACUGGUGCCCGCUGUCCAGCUCAAGUGCGUGACUGCGACAUGACUGAUACCUACUGAGGCUAGCGGGACAAGGGGGGUGGAGCAGUGUGCCUUUAAAGAGAUGCCGGUGCAGGCUGAGGGCCACUCCUCCCGGGCGGCACUGAGCCAGCCUCUGCAAAUAUACAAUAAAUUACCAUUUCCCAGGCUACCGCUGCUUGC